GAUGAACGCUGGCGGCGUGCCUAAUACAUGCAAGUCGAGCGAACGGACGAGAAGCUUGCUUCUCUGAUGUUAGCGGCGGACGGGUGAGUAACACGUGGAUAACCUACCUAUCAGACUGGGAUAACUUCGGGAAACCGGAGCUAAUACCGGAUAAUAUUUUGAACCGCAUGGUUCAAAAGUGAAAGACGGUCUUGCUGUCACUUAUAGAUGGAUCCGCGCUGCAUUAGCUAGUUGGUAAGGUAACGGCUUACCAAGGCAACGAUGCAUAGCCGACCUGAGAGGGUGAUCGGCCACACUGGAACUGAGACACGGUCCAGACUCCUGCGGGAGGCAGCAGUAGGGAAUCUUCCGCAAUGGGCGAAAGCCUGACGGAGCAACGCCGCGUGAGUGAUGAAGGUCUUCGGAUCGUAAAACUCGGUUAUUAGGGAAGAACAUAUGUGUAAGUAACUGUGCACAUCUUGACGGUACCUAAUCAGAAAGCCACGGCUAACUACGUG
rnacentral:rRNA from 1 species